AGAGUUUGAUCAUGGCUCAGGACGAACGCUGGCGGCGUGCUUAACACAUGCAAGUCGAGGGCAUUCGGGGGCAACUCCGGGUGACCGGCGAACGGGUGCGUAACACGUGAGCGACCUACCUUCUUGUGGGGGAUAGCCGGCCCAACGGCCGGGUAAUACCGCAUACGCUUUUUCCGGGGCAUACCGGGGAAAGGAAACUUCCGGGGCAGGAAGAGGGGCUCGCGGCCUAUCAGCUAGUUGGCGGGGUAACGGCCCACCAAGGCGGUGACGGGUAGCUGGUCUGAGAGGAUGGCCAGCCACAUUGGGACUGAGAGACGGCCCAGACUCCUACGGGAGGCAGCAGUGGGGAAUCUUGCGCAAUGGCCGCAAGGCUGACGCAGCGCCCCGCGUGGGGGAGGAAGGGCUUCGGCUCGUAAACCCCUGUUGCCCGGGGCGAACAUCCCUUUUCGAGGGGACUGACGGUACCGGGUGAGGAAGCACCGGCUAACUCCGUGCCAGCAGCCGCGGUAAUACGGAGGGUGCGAGCGUUGUCCGGAAUCACUGGGCGUAAAGGGCGCGUAGGUGGCCGAGCAAGGUCGCGGUGAAAGCUUGGGGCUCAACCCCAAGUCGGCCGUGGCAACUACUUGGCUUGAGCACUGUAGGGGCGGGUGGAAUUCCGGGUGUAGCGGUGGAAUGCGUAAGAUCCGGAAGAUCACCGGUG
rnacentral:rRNA from 1 species